AUUGAACGCUGGCGGUAGGCCUAACACAUGCAAGUCGAACGUGUGCCGGACGGGUGAGCAAUGUCUGUGAUACUGCCCGAUUGUGGGGGUCAACUAUCGGAAACGGCAGUUAACACCGCCUUCCAUCAGAAGUGUCUCGAUGGGAUUAGCUUGUUUGUGGGGUAACGGCUCACCAAGGCGACGAUCCAUAGCGGGUCUGAGAGGAUGACCAGCCACACUGGACCUGUGACGCGGUCCUGACUCCUACGGGAGGCAGCAGUGGGGAAUAUUGCACCAUGGGCGGAAGCCUGAUGCAGCCGUGCCGCGUGUAUGGAGAGGGCCUUCGGGUUGUAGAGUACUUUCAGCGGGGAGGCGUUACCCGCCGAAGAAGCACCGGCUAACUCCGUGCCAGCAGCCGCGGUAAUUC
rnacentral:rRNA from 1 species